CGGAACAGGGCGUCGACCAGUGGUGAACGUGACACGGUAAAGCUUUGAACCGUGCAUGACAAAUGAAGCUACUAAAGCUGUAAGCCUGUUCAUGGGCGUACAGUGGAGGGAAUGAAAAAACAUGAACUGCACCCGGAGAUGCUCUUGUGAAUACGGUUUCGGACGCGGGUUCGAUUCCCGCCGCCUCCACCA
rnacentral:tmRNA from 1 species